UACGAAGGGGGCUAGCGUUGUUCGGAUUUACUGGGCGUAAAAGCGCACGUAGGCGGAUUGUUAAGUGAGGGGUGAAAUCCCAAGGGCUCAACCCUGGAACUGCCUUUCAUACUGGCAAUCUUGAGUCCGGAAGAGGUGAGUGGAACUCCUAGUGUAGAGGUGGAAUUCGUAGAUAUUAGGAAGAACACCAGUGGCGAAGGCGGCUCACUGGUCCCGGGUAUGACGCUGAGGGUGCGAAAGCGUGGGGGAG
rnacentral:rRNA from 1 species